UGUUGUAUCAGCCUCCUGGUAGCUGCCAGCAAGCAGAUCUCAUCAGAGCUGAAAAUACAAGCACACGUGUGGCAGGAAUCACUCAAUGGGAGAGACAUUUUAAUAUCUCAUGCUUCUGCUUUUCUUUCAACAUGAGAAGACUGGUUGCAAUUCAGACGAUCCUGUCAAACACAACUCGCUUCACAAGACUGUUGUUGUAAAGAAGAAAUUUAGAGAAGACUUUCAUGUAUGUCACCUUAAGCUCCCAAAGGAAUAGGAAUAGUCAGAUAAAAGAUAGUUGGUGUAUUCAAUCCAAAUAUCCAGGAGAGUGAGAUUGUAUGUCUCCAAAAUGAAACAUCUGUGAUUUAAGCUUGGAAAAUUGAAAAUCGAAAUAGCUAAGUUCUUUAGCUGAAUCAACCCAGAGGUAAGAAGGAGUUCAAGAGAUUCUUGAAAUGCAAU